rnacentral:ncRNA from 1 species
AAAGUCGGAGGUUCGAAGAGGAUCAGAUACCAUCAUAGUUCCGACCAUAAAUGAUGCUAACUGGCAAUGCUGUAGUGUUAUUAUUCCUAUAACCCCUCAGGCACCUUCCAGGAAACCAAAGUGUUUGGGU